rnacentral:misc_RNA from 1 species
AACCAUAGAAACCUGCGGAGUACCUGCGGAGGGAUCAUUAGAGGAAUUGGAGAGGAAGUAUGAUUGAGUACUUCCGAAACACAAAGUGAAGUGGUUAAAGUCUUUCACACAGUUUUAAACUGUUUAUUUUGGGUUGAACAUUUGUUUCAACGCUAGGAUCAAAAACCUAGCCUCACAUAAUCAAAUACAACUUUCAGCAAUGGAUCU